GGGGUAUGCGGAGGGAUCAUUG
rnacentral:rRNA from 1 species